rnacentral:lncRNA from 1 species
GAGUCACUGGCCCCGUCCGCAUCCUUCUCCAGCGGCCCCGGGGGCCGCCGCGCCUUAACUCGAUCAGGGCUGCAGCGGCUCGCUGGCUUGACCAGUGCAGAAGGGGCGUGGAGGUGAGCGGGGUGGGGUAGGACUCUGAACUUCAAGCACUGGAGUUUGCCGGGAUCGUGAACUUGCAGGGAGAGGCGGUCCUCAUCCAGUGAGGUACUAACAGUCUAAGCAGAAAAAGAAGAACAGAUGGUGGUAAGACCUAGAAUGUUUACCCCAUUAAGAUCUAUAUCUGAAUCCAGAAGGAACACCUCAUUGCCGAGAAGAGCCCUGCAGACAGUUCACACCUCUGUUUCUUUUGCAAGAUAUAGCUACCUCAAAAAAUCCUUUCUUGAUCAAACUCUUAUGGCCUGGAAUCCUUGCGUUUCUGCUGAUGACUGUCAUUUUAGAGUACUUACUAAAGACAAUGGUUGGGGAAAUAGAUAUUUUAAAAAUAAGGGAAAAAGUGGGUAGGGUAAACCCAGGCUUACUUAUGUAAACUCUGAGUGCUGAAGUUAGAAGACAACUUUUAAGAUUAAAAAAAAAAAAAAAAAAA